GUAUCUGUAGCGCAAUGGAUAGCGCGUUGGACUUCUAAUCCAAAGGUCGUGGGUUAGAAUCCCACCUGAGUUG
rnacentral:tRNA from 1 species